rnacentral:rRNA from 1 species
CGCGUAGGCGGUCUUGUCGGUCAGAUGUGAAAGCCCAGGGCUCAACCCUGGACGUGCAUUUGAAACAGCAAGACUUGAGUACGGGAGAGGAGAGCGGAAUUCCUGGUGUAGAGGUGAAAUUCGUAGAUAUCAGGAGGAACACCGAUGGCGAAGGCAGCUCUCUGGACCGAUACUGACGCUGAGGCGCGAAGGCGUGGGUAGCGAACAGGAUUAGAUACCCUGGUAGUC